AUUGAACGCUGGCGGCAUGCUUUACACAUGCAAGUCGAACGGUAACAGGGUGCUUGCACCGCUGACGAGUGGCGAACGGGUGAGUAAUGCGUCGGAACGUGCCGAGUAGUGGGGGAUAACGCAGCGAAAGUUGUGCUAAUACCGCAUACGUACUGAGGUAGAAAGUGGGGGACCUUCGGGCCUCACGCUAUUCGAGCGGCCGACGGCUGAUUAGCUAGUAGGUGCGGUAAAGGCUCACCUAGGCGACGAUCAGUAGCGGGUCUGAGAGGAUGAUCCGCCACACUGGGACUGAGACACGGCCCAGACUCCUACGGGAGGCAGCAGUGGGGAAUUUUGGACAAUGGGCGAAAGCCUGAUCCAGCCAUGCCGCGUGUCUGAAGAAGGCCUUCGGGUUGUAAAGGACUUUUGUCGGGGAGGAAAUCCCCAGCGCUAAUACCGCUGGGGGAUGACAGUACCUGAAGAAUAAGCACCGGCUAACUACGUGCCAGCCGCCGCCGUAAGAC
rnacentral:rRNA from 1 species